rnacentral:tRNA from 1 species
GAGGGUACAGCUCAAGUGGCAGAGCACAUGCUUAACGUGCAUGAGGUCCUGGGUUUAAUCCCCCAGUACCUCCA